rnacentral:rRNA from 1 species
UACGAAGGGUGCAAGCGUUACUCGGAAUUACUGGGCGUAAAGCGUGCGCAGGCGGUUUUGUAAGUCUGUCGUGAAAGCCCCGGGCUUAACCUGGGAACUGCAUUUGUGACUGCAUGGCUGGAGUGCGGCAGAGGGGGAUGGAAUUCCGCGUGUAGCAGUGAAAUGCGUAGAUAUGCGGAGGAACACCGAUGGCGAAGGCAAUCCCCUGGGCCUGUACUGACGCUCAUGCACGAAAGCGUGGGGAGCAAACAGG